CUCCUGUCUGUGACACGCUUGAGUUUCUGCUAUUUCAGCAACAGUAUGCCUGAAACUCCCAAAGCCAGGAUAAUACGAAUGAGAGCGGUUUAAAACAAGCGAUUGAGGGGCUAAAUCGCUCUUUCAGACAUACACGGCUAAACCUCCCUUCACGGGAGGGCGGUGGUUUUUAAUCAUGCCUUAAAAUUCCUUAAAAGCAGGGGGUCUCCCCUCCGCGAGGGGCGGUCGGCAGAGUGCGUGCCUUAUGAAUAAACCGGCUAUUAGGCUGAUGCUUCAAGUAACACUAUCCAGCACCAAGUUUUUAUUUAAUGAAAAUAAAAAGCCACACCAACAUCUCGUUUCACCACGACUGAAUGAAGAUGUACCUUCUUGACCUGGAAGACAGUACAACGCUUGUUCCUUUGUGCCAGUCAUAUCCAAAAAAGAUGCUGAGAGGAGCCUACAAGAAGGAGCAUUGAUCUAAAGAACAAAGCAUUUAGGAGAUUACCAUAGCUCACAUAUUUAUAGAGAACAAUAUAUCCUGGUACAACUGUAUGCAAGACUUUUUUUCUUUACUGGAAAACAGCAUCUUGCAGUGUUUGGCAGGCUGGAAGUUACGUUCUCUAUAGUUGGCAGUGUGUGCAUGUGUGUGUGUGCUUGAAAGAGGAUAGAGGAUAUGUGUUCACAUGUGCACCUCCAUACCCUCUGCUAGGACUGCCUGGAAUAACCAGAGAAUUGAUGAAUCCAUUCUAAAAGCAAGAUAAGUGAUUUAAUUUCUUUUCAUCAUUGCUGACUGAUAAACUGUAACUUCAAUCCCAGGGAUUAGCAUUGCUUUUACAGGAUAGCUGUAUCAGAGAAUGCAAUAAAAAUUGUAGAAAGCAACUUUAAAAGGCUCUUGUUUUGAUGUACUUCCAGCUUGUAAAUAAAACCUACUUUCUUCAACUUUGCUGGAAAGACUUUAUUACUAUUAUCAGGUUAUCAAGAUCCAUUAUUUUCUUAUGAGGAAAGUAUUGCCCCAAGCAAUGUGGAGGCUAUUUAUGACUAACUACAUCCAUACCUUUUCAGUGUUUUUUGUACGUGUUACCAUGGUUGAGGUCCAUAUAAAUGCAAAUAAAUAUAAAGCUUGUAGCCACCAGCGCUGCUCCCCUGUAUAGGGAACACAGCUUUAUUUAGUAGGCUGGAAAUGACAGGUGGGCAGAGAAAAAUCUAGACUUGGUGUGAAUUGCUGAUUCCUUUGCUGACAUCUCUGGUGAUGUGCAGGUGGGGUAGUACCAGGUGGGGCAGAGCACAGCUUGCUUUCAUCUGGCUAUCCAAAAUAAGUGCAGUUCAUCUGCUCUGGGACAGACAGAAUUAAAACUAAGCAGAGACCAUCAGAAGUAAUAUCUUACUUUGGCUAUUUGUGUAUUAAAUAUAAAAAUUCUAAAGCCUGUUCUUUUAAGAGUUUUAAAUGUAUCAGUCAAUUUAAAAACACACCAUCCUCAUAUAGAUUUGGCCUAUGAUGAUACUAUAUCCUUCUGCUUGUAGGACAAUGCUCCUUAUUAUACUUCAUCACUAAGUUUCUUUUGUUCUCGUUUUGACAAAGCCAAAUCAAUGCAAUAGUGGCAGAACAGCUUUGGGUGCUGGCAUCAGUAUGACACAUAGCCCUUAGUCAGCAGAAAACAGGUCGUACCUCAGCUUCCACAACUGUCAUAAAGCUACUGAAAGCAGAUUUUGGGAAUCCCUGAGGGAAAUAAAACCAACACCCCUCAGUGCAAAGAAGGUCUCUGUUUAAAAUUACUCUCCAACCUUCCUGUUCUCUAAGUCUUAGGAAAAGAUUUCCUCGAAGUAGAGAGGAAGAGUCAGAGCAGAAGCAGAGAACUGAUGGCUGGCUGGCAGGGAGAGAGUGAGUGGACUGCCUGGAGGUGAGAGCAGCAGACUCCAUCCAGAUGAAGAAAUAAAUUAUGACUCUGAAGCAUAGCACAGGGUUUAUCAUAACAGGAGUGAAAGGGUAUAAAGACCUAAACUGUUUAUUUGUAUGAGAACAUAAUGGUCCUUGUUAUCGACUUGGUGUUGAAAGGAAUGACUUCCAUCUAGAGGAUGCAGAAAAAACACAAGAUAAAUUUCAGUACUAGUAACAGUUUAAUGGAAAAAGAUUGAAAAAGAGGAAGAAUAUGGAAAUUAGACAGGAAUGACAUUGUAAGAAUUUAAAUGUGACAUUUGGCAGCAGCUGUAUCGUUCAUGAAAAAAACACAGUGCUAAUCAACAUCAGAUGUAUUGUUAUUUUAAAAUAGACUUUAUUUAAUGACAAUAAAUAUAAAGAAAUCUUAAUAUUCAGAAACUAAUAGCAAACAUUAUUAGAAAAAAUACAAAAAAUACAUUCUUACAUUCUGAAUUUUAUCAACGUACACAGUCUUAAACAGUGGCAAUAGUCUGUAAUUUAUGGUGUUUGUUAAGGCAAUGAUAUAGUCACCGGUCAAAAUUCACCCUGACUUCAACAGAUCUGUACAAAGUAAGAGUCUGACCUACAUAUCAUGUGUAAAAAAGAGUUAAAUUGAUUCAUAGUUUAAAACAAAUGUUAAUUUUCCCUUCAAACAUAUCUUGAAAUAUUAUUAAAGUGACAUAGCCUAAAAAACGAAAGUUACAGAUACUCAUAUGUUGGGAACUGCUCCCCCUGCAUUUUGGUCUGAUGCCUCUGCAGAGCUCCCUGUGUACAAGCAGGGCACAUUUCAGCAGUUGGAAGUAGAGGCUACAGAAACUGCACAGCUUAAAUCAAACUAUUAAAAUGCAAUUAUUAGGCACUCUGUUGGUUUUCCUCUUCUGUCUCUCUCAUUCAGAACUGUGCUGUGAAUAACACUGUGCAUAUGGCAAACUGAACUGGUAUAAUGUUUUCUGAAAUGAAAUGUUGCAGCUACAUUAGCAAAGAGAGUGGCACUUCAGAAGGAAAUCACUAGAGCAAAAGGUUGAUUUCGACUAGGUGAUGCCCACGCAAUACUCACAGCUCUCUUCAGCCUAGCUCUGGUUUUAGCUCUCCAGACUAAGUGACUGUCAGAGACCAUUAAGUAUAUAUCUAAAACCUGCCUUCUGGUUCAGUUUAAACCAAGAGGAAUGCAGUCUAUGUGCCCAGAUACCAGUCUGUAAUGGGAAGCACUGCCCAGAAAGUAGGGACAAGUGGAAGACUAGUUUCAAAAGCACACUCCUGAUCCGAACAAAAAUGGUAAUGUAGAAACACACCUGAAGCUGAUUAGGAUUUUAUUACAGGAGUAGCCCAAGUCACAGAUAUACACACUUUGUUGAUGUAACAUUUUUUUAAAAAUCAUUAUUUUAAGGCAUGAACAUAAACUCUCGAUGACACUGAGGGCCAACUCCCCCUUUAGGAGAGGCUGCCAACUGGUGUAAAGGGGGCAGCUGAGGGAGGGCACAGGAACCAAACAAGGAGCAGAAGACCAGGCACUCCUGAAAAUCAGCCUUGAGCUCUGCCACUGUUCACAGUGUGACCCCAGGCAAGGCAAGAAAUUCCUUUGUUUCCUAGUUUUUUUACCUAUCAAAGAGGGCAAUAAAUGCUUCCUUAAGACCAAAUAAUCACCUGAAAUGGUCCAUUUAGUGUUGCAUUUCUUUUUCCUUUAUCACAGGAUGCCUCCUUGCCUGCCCCAGCCCUCCAACACUGCACCUGAAAAUGUAUUUAAGGUACACUGGCACUGUGAUUCCUGAUGGGGGUAUGAAAAUGGCAUCAGCUGAACACAACUGCAGAUGGGGAAGGGCCAGUUCAAAGCUAAACUCAGAAAGCUGUAAGUCUGAAAUGAGCUGACUGGCCUUUCUAACCAAACUAAUUUUGUGCCGGGGAGUCCUGAGUUCUUCACUAAAAUUGUUUCAUGAAACAGUUUUUUGGACAAAAACUUGUUUUAAACAGAAGUUUGGUACACUAUGCUGUGACAGGACCCAGAGUCAAUGGGCACAAACUUAAACACAGGAGGUUCCCUCAGAACAUUAAGAAACACUUCUUCACUGUGAGGGUGACUGAGCACUGGCACAGAGUACUUGGGGAGGUUGUGGAUUCUCCAUCCUUGAAGAUGUUCAAAAGCUGUCUGGUCCUGGACAGUCUGCUGUAGGUGGCCCUGCUUGAGCAGGGGAGUUGGACUAGAUGACCUCCAGAGGUCCCUUCCAACUCCAACCAUCCUAUGACCUGGGCAGAAGGUCAAACCAGUAUUGAGGGGACAUAUUUUGAUAAGAAAUUCUGUCUUGUUUAGAAACUUCUGAGUGUUCGUCCAUCUAUCUAAUUUAUAUUUGCUUCCUGGUAAAUUAAAGACUUGCUGUGAUUCUGAUGAAACCAAAACAAAUGGCAAAGGGCAGAAUUCCCUGUGCAAACAAGCGCUGGUUCCAUUGCUGCUCUGAUUGUCAUUUAUCAUUGCAGUCUGUCUUGUUUUUCUAUACUGCAUCUUUUUUUGUCUUCAGGUGCUCAAAGUUUUCUGGGCAUUAUAAUAAGUAAACUUCAGUCCUUCAGUGUCAGAAAUGCAAGUGGUUCUCUGGAAUAUGUGAGCUUUUUUCUUUAAUCUUUCCUUGAUUUUUGAACCAAGUUUUCCUCUCAACAUUCUUCCACGCGAUCAUGCCCAGUCUUGCUGAGUGAAAGCUUGUGUAUUGACUGCGGAAAGGACUCCCCUCGUGUUCUACCUCUUCCAGUUUAAAAGUUGCCAUUUCAAAGGAUAAGCUUGAGGUAUAUAGCAGUCAGUAUUUGGAAGUUUUGCUACAAAAUUCAGAUAUUUGACUCCUUCUGAUUAUUAAUGGGAUAAAAUACAUCUUACAAAAGUUGCUUAGUUUCUGCACAUGAGUUUCUUAAUAUGUAAAAAACCUAUAUGAAUAAUCUGCCUAAAAAUUCUGCAUAUCUAUUACAUUUAAGAAGAGUACAAAAUUACAAAUGCAAGAAUAAUCACCUGGUUUACAGAGUAUAAGCCUACUUCUGCUUUUUAAACAUGAUUUUGGUUCUUAGAAUUUGUAGAAAUUGGUCCACUAAAACUGUUAAAAGAGAAAGCAAGUUAAUAAUCUGGCAUAUCAGUGAUGCAGACAGAAAGCGGAGUUCUACAUGUGUGUUCAAUCUAUAAUUCCCUAACUCUCAGUUUGCAACUGGUGCCAAAAUAUCCAAGCAGACCUGCAGACUAAUUUGAAGAUGAUGGAUGUCUGUAGCACAUGCAUCCACAUCUGUAACAUCCUUCCUAGUUAUUUAAAGCUUCAUAACAAGGUUAAGGCAUAUUAAAUGGUUUAUUCCAGUCUCCAGUUUCAAUAAAUUCAUGGUCUUGUCAGAAUUCACUUUAUCAUGCAGUGUUGUAUCACAACAGGUCCAGCUGCAUGUUCUUCCUAUGUCAAAAUCUAUCAGGGAAGAGCACGGUGCCUCUGGUGUGGGAGAAAUGCAAAAAAGCCCUCCACAAAUAUUGAUUUAGUAUGUGAAAAGACUUUUAACACUCGUUACUGCUACAUGUAGGAGACCUUCAAGGCUAUGGUCAUUCAGAGCAGAGUGGGCAAGUGAACAAAUGAAAGUACAUUGACUGGAGAAAGAUAAAAUGCCCGAGUUUUCUAGUCACCCAGAGUGCUGUAAAGUCAGUUUGCAUGCAUCGAUUUCAAAGACAAUUCUCCUGUUUACACAGAGAUUGAUGAACAGGAUGGGCUUACAGUCCUGAUGCUUCUUGUGAUCCAAGUCUGUGAUUAAUUAAACUAUGUUGUUAUCUAUUUAAGUCUCAGAAUGCAUAGCUAAUUCAGUGUAGCACACAAUAGUGCUUAGUAUGUCAAUUCCAAUGGCUUAACAACAUGAUUUUG